GCUGACGAGUGGCGGACGGGUGAGUAAUGUCUGGGAAACUGCCUGAUGGAGGGGGAUAACUACUGGAAACGGUGGCUAAUACCGCAUAACGUCGCAAGACCAAAGAGGGGGACCUUCGGGCCUCUUGCCAUCAGAUGUGCCCAGAUGGGAUUAGCUAGUUGGUGAGGUAACGGCUCACCAAGGCGACGAUCCCUAGCUGGUCUGAGAGGAUGACCAGCCACACUGGAACUGAGACACGGUCCAGACUCCUACGGGAGGCAGCAGUGGGGAAUAUUGCACAAUGGGCGCAAGCCUGAUGCAGCCAUGCCGCGUGUAUGAAGAAGGCCUUCGGGUUGUAAAGUACUUUCAGCGGGGAGGAAGGUGUUG
rnacentral:rRNA from 1 species